rnacentral:rRNA from 1 species
GAGGAAUAUUGGACAAUGGAUGGAAAUCUGAUCCAGUCAUGCCGCGUGCAGGAAGACUGCCUUAUGGGUUGUAAACUGCUUUUAUACGGGAGCAAUAAGGGUUACGUGUAGCCUGAUGAGAGUACUGUAUGAAUAAGGAUCGGCUAACUCCGUGCCAGCAGCCGCGGUAAUACGGAGGAUCCGAGCGUUAUCCGGAAUUAUUGGGUUUAAAGGGUGCGUAGGCGGCUAUUUAAGUCAGCGGUGAAAUUUUGCAGCUUAACUGUAACAGUGCCGUUGAAACUGUUUAGCUAGGAUUUGGUUGCAGUGUGCGGAAUGUGUGGUGUAGCGGUGAAAUGCUUAGAUAUCACACAGAACACCAAUUGCGAAGGCAGCACACUAAGUCAAUAUUGACGCUGAGGCACGAAAGUGUGGGGAUCAAACA